CCUUCUCUGCUUUGUUCACGGUCGCAACCUGGGUCUCCCAAAAGAAAAAAUGAACUAUCAGAAGUAAAAGUCGUAACAAGGUCUCCGUUGGUGAACCAGCGGAGGGAUCAUUGCUGGAACAAACGCCCUCACGGGUGCUACCCAGAAACCCUUUGUGAACUUAUAUAAACUGUUGCCUCGGCAUUGGUUGGCUUCGAAUGAAGUCCCUCGUUCCCUUGUGGAGUGAGGAGCAGACCGGCCGAUGGCCCCUAUAAACUCUUGUUUUUGUACUAUCUUCUGAGUAAAACAACUAAAUGAAUCAAAACUUUCAACAACGGAUCUCUUGGUUCUGGCAUCGAUGAAGAACGCAGCGAAAUGCGAUAAGUAAUGUGAAUUGCAGAAUUCAGUGAAUCAUCGAAUCUUUGAACGCACAUUGCGCCCGGUGGUAUUCCACCGGGCAUGCCUGUUCGAGCGUCAUUUCAACCCUCAAAAAUCUUGUAUUUUUGGUGUUGGAGGAAUACCUGUCACAGGGUACCCUCUGAAAUUUAGUGGCGGGCUCGCUAGAAUUUUGAGCGUAGUAAUUUUACCUCGUUUUUAAAGACUAGUGGGACUUCUUGCCGUAAAACCCCCCAACUUUCUGAAAUUGACCUCGGAUCAGGUAGAUCCAACGU
rnacentral:rRNA from 1 species